rnacentral:rRNA from 1 species
UACGUAGGGGGCAAGCGUUGUCCGGAUUUAUUGGGCGUAAAGAGCUCGUAGGCGGUUUGUUGCGUCGGCUGUGAAAUCCCGAGGCUCAACCUCGGGUCUGCAGUCGAUACGAGCAAACUAGAGUGUUGCAGGGGAGACUGGAAUUCCUGGUGUAGCGGUGAAAUGCGCAGAUAUCAGGAGGAACACCGGUGGCGAAGGCGGGUCUCUGGACAGUUCCUGACACUGAGAGCACGAAGGCCAGGGGAGCAAACGGG